UGGGCUUGACAUGGUGCUGCAAGCGCACGGAAACGUGUGACCUUCGAGGGUGCACCACAGGUGCUGCAUGGCUGUCGUCAGCUCGUGUCGUGAGAUGUUGGGUUAAGUCCCGCAACGAGCGCAACCCUUGCCAUUAGUUGCUACAUUCAGUUGAGCACUCUAAUGGGACUGCCGGUGACAAACCGGAGGAAGGUGGGGAUGACGUGUCCUUGAUAGG
rnacentral:misc_RNA from 1 species